AUUGAACGCUGGCGGCAGGCCUAACACAUGCAAGUCGAACGGUAACAGGAAGAAGCUUGCUUCUUUGCUGACGAGUGGCGGACGGGUGAGUAAUGUCUGUGAAACUGCCUGAUGGAGGGGGAUAACUACUGGAAACGGUAGCUAAUACCGCAUAACGUCGCAAGACCAAAGAGGGGGACCUUCGGGCCUCUUGCCAUCGGAUGUGCCCAGAUGGGAUUAGCUAGUAGGUGGGGUACCGGCUCACCUAGGCGACGAUCCCUAGCUGGUCUGAGAGGAUGACCGGGCACACGGGGAGUGAGACACGGUGCAGAGUCCGACGGGAGGAAGCAGUGGGGAAUAUGGGAAAAUGGGGGCGAGCCUGAGCCGGCCAUGCCGCGGGAGUGAAGAAGGCCUUCGGGUUGUAAAGAACUGUUGUCAGGAAAGAAAGCCCUCGAGCUAAGACGUUCGGGGGAUGACGGUACCGGAAGAAUAAGCACCGGCUAACUUCGUG
rnacentral:rRNA from 1 species